rnacentral:piRNA from 1 species
CCAUCGAGAACGGGCCAUGAUGACGAU